AUUGAACGCUGGCGGCAGGCUUAACACAUGCAAGUCGAGCGGAGAUGAGGUGCUUGCACCUUAUCUUAGCGGCGGACGGGUGAGUAAUGCUUAGGAAUCUGCCUAUUAGUGGGGGACAACAUUCCGAAAGGAAUGCUAAUACCGCAUACGUCCUACGGGAGAAAGCAGGGGAUCUUCGGACCCUGCGCUAAUAGAUGAGCCUAAGUCGGAUUAGCUAGUUGGUGGGGUAAAGGCCUACCAAGGCGACGAUCGGUAGCGGGUCUGAGAGGAUGAUCCGCCACACUGGGACUGAGACACGGCCCAGACUCCUACGGGAGGCAGCAGUGGGGAAUAUUGGACAAUGGGGGGAACCCUGAUCCAGCCAUGCCGCGUGUGUGAAGAAGGCCUUAUGGUUGUAAAGCACUUUAAGCGAGGAGGAGGCUACUGAGACUAAUACUCUUGGAUAGUGGACGUUACUCGCAGAAUAAGCACCGGCUAACUCUGUGCCAGCCGCCGCGGUAAUAC
rnacentral:rRNA from 1 species